rnacentral:ncRNA from 1 species
AGAGGAUCUACUUGGAAUUGAUUGCAGUUUAGGAGGGAACUCUGGAGCAACAUUUUGAACUGCUGCUGAAUUAAUGGACAGGCCAGAGAGAAUCAGGCAAACUGAAAGAUCUUAGUAUCAAGAGGAAAAGAAAGCAAAAGUGAUUCCCGUAGUAGUGCGGGGUCAAUAAUGAGCUGCCUAAACCGUGAAAACGGGGUUGUGGGAGUGCAAUACAAGCGUCGUACAGCUAGACGAAACAUCCCGAAUGUUGCAGCCUAGAUGGAGGAAGUAUAGUAGCCGAAAGCAUCACUAGCUUAGGCUCACACCUGAGUAGCAGCCAGAUCGUCUGAAGCAUGAACAGAAUCGCAUUUGUUCUGAAGGCCUAGUGAGUUUCUUUU